rnacentral:rRNA from 1 species
AAUAUUGGACAAUGGGGGCAACCCUGAUCCAGCCAUGCCGCGCGUGUGAAGAAGGUCUUCGGAUUGUAAAGCACUUUAUGUUGGGAGGAAGGGCUUUAGGUUAAUACCCUGAAGUUUGGACGUUACCAACAGAAGAAUCAGCGCCUAACUCUGCGCCAGCAGCCGCGGUAAUACAGAGGGCACAAGCGUUAGACGGAAUUACUGGUCGUAAAGCGCGCGUAGGUGGUUCAGUAAGAUGGGUGUGAAAUCCCCGGGCUUAACCUGGGAACUGCUUUCAUAACUGCUGGGCUAGAGUACGGUAGAGGGUAGUGGAAUUUCCUGUGUAGCGGUGAAAUGCGUAGAUAUAGGAAGGAACACCAGUGGCGAAGGCGACUACCUGGACUGAUACUGACACUGAGGUGCGAAAGCGUGGGGAGCAAACA